ensembl:misc_RNA
AAGUUCCAUGGACUGGAAAUGUUUUUCACAAUUUUUCACUGAAGUCUUAGGUGUGCCAUUCUCUCAGGCAGGAGAUUGAGACUCUCUCUCUCUCAGUUAAUGAGAUUAAGCAUU